UUUGCUACGUGUAUUGCUUUGACAAGGAUGACCAAGGAACCAGGCUAACCUCUCAAAGACUCGUCUUUUUCCGUAACCAAACAAAUUAAAAUUAUUUGAGGCUACGGAAAUGGCCGAGUUGUUACGUAGUAGUUACAAUAUUGAACCCGAAGGUUGUAAUUUAGCCUGGUUUCCUGGCUCAGCCUAGUGUCCGCGGAGUACAUGACGCAUCACUCGGAUCACCUCGGACGAUUCCAUCUAGUUAGAUGUAGGGUACCGAAAUCUGCCGAGGUUUGACGAAUGAUGACGCAUGAGAAGAACAGGGAACCAGGCUAGAGGUAAUGAUAGGUUGGGGAAAUAAAUUCUCAACAAGGAGGAAGUCCAUUCCAAUGCAGUUUUCAGGCAGCUCUCGACAGCCCCCCCCCCCCAUCCUGGACACCAAUAGGACUUUGCCUUGGACCCGUGGAACUACACCUUCCCGUUCUGAAAUGUCUGGACCCUCCACUGCAGGAAGCAGAAAAAUGUUAAUUUUUUCAGUAGAAGAAAUCAUGAUCGGAUAGCUUUCCAGAAAAGGUCACAAAGUUCAUGGCCGUAGGAACAUGGAGGAUACUUUAAAAUCAUAAUUACUAUAUGCUUGUGCCCCUUCAAUAAUAACAUUUGAUGACUUUUUUUGGCUUGUCAAGGAAUUUUUGGUAGUGCCCCCCCCCCCAACUGAAAAUGUUUUGUUGUGCCCCCAACUGAAAUUGCUUCCUACG